GCUUAGUCAUAAACCCAAAUAAUCAACAAACAAGAUUACUCGCCAGGAAACUACUAGCAACUGCUUAAAACUCAAAGGACUUGGCGGUGCCCUAAGCCCAUCUAGAGGAGCCUGUUCUAUAAUCGAUAAACCCCGAUAAACCUUACCCCCUCUUGCCAAUACAGCCUAUAUACCGCCAUCGUCAGCUCACCCCACUAGGGAGAUAAAGUAAGCAAGACUACAGUACAUAAAAACGUUAGGUCAAGGUGUAGCAUAUGAGGAGGAAAGAAAUGGGCUACAUUUUCUAUGUUAGAACACGAACGAAUUAUAUCUUGAAAAUAUAAGAUAUAUGAAGGAGGAUUUAGCAGUAAAUUGAGAAUAGAGAGCUUAAUUGAAUCAGGCAAUAGGACGCGC
rnacentral:rRNA from 1 species